CGUCCAGACUCCUACGGGAGGCAGCAGUGAGGAAUAUUGGUCAAUGGCCGGAAGGCUGAACCAGCCAAGCCGCGUGAAGGACGAAGGUGCAAAGCCUUGUAAACUUCUUUUGUCAAGGGACAAAAUCAGGCUCGAGAGCCUGACCGAGGGUACUUGAAGAAAAAGCAUCGGCUAACUCCGUGCCAGCAGCCGCGGUAAUACGGAGGAUGCGAGCGUUAUCCGGAUUUAUUGGGUUUAAAGGGUGCGUAGGCGGAUUGUUAACACAGUGGUAAACGCCCGGGGCCCCCCCCCGGCGAGCCGUUGAAACUGGCUGUCUUGAGAUGUCGAGAGGUAUGCGGAAUGCGCAGUGUAGCGGUGAAAUGCUUAGAUAUUGCGCAGAACUCCGAUUGCGAAGGCAGCAUACCGGCGGCGAUCUGACGCUGAGGCACGAAAGCGUGGGGAUCGAACAGGAUUAGAUACCCCGGUAUCC
rnacentral:rRNA from 1 species